GGCGCUAUGGCCGAGUGGUUAAGGCGACAGAUUCGAAUUAUUGGCACCUUAUCUGUUCCGGUUUCCGGGCGCAGGUUCAAGUCCUGCUGGCGUCG